rnacentral:lncRNA from 1 species
CCCCCCCCAAUCUUUUUAUGCUUCCUAUGCCCCUGCUCCAAAUAAAGACUAAUACAUAUAACAAUUUUCUCUCUCUGAUAAUGGCAGGUCAUGAUACCAUCUCUUGCACAAUAGUACUUCAUGAAACCCACAUUAUAUCCGAGUUGCACGUCUUGCUAAUAUUAAUAAUAUUUAAAAUAUAGUUUCAUUUAUUUUUAAUGUACUGUAAUAUCAUUAAUGUACUGUAAUACCUUGAUCAUUAGACAAAACACAACGUAUUUUAGUACCACUCAUGUCUCUGCAGUAGUAAGCUUUUUAUAAGUAUUAAGCUUUGUGGUGUUGUAUUCAAAAUUAGCGGC